UUGUUAGUCUUGGAAGUAUUCUGCAAGUCAAUAUUUAUGAAUAAGUUUUUAAUAAAAAAAUCAAGGCAGUGAAGGUUUAAAUGGUGGCCGUUAAACUCUCUAGUACUACUCAAGGGAAGGUUAUAAGAUUAAAUGGUGUCCGUUAAGGUUAUAGGGUUAAACGGUGGUCGUUAAGGUUAUAAUGUUAAACGGUUGCCGUUAAGGUUAUAAGGUUAAACGGUGGCCGUUACCCUUAUAAGGUUAUAAGGUUAAACGGUGGCUGUUAAGGUUAUAAGGUUAAACGGUGGCCGUUACCCUUAUAAGGUUAUAAGGUUAAACGGUGGCUGUUAAGGUUAUAAGGUUAAACGGUGGCCGUUAGCCUUAUAAGGUUAUAAGUUUAAACGGUGGCCGUUAAGGUUAUAAGGUUAAACGACCUCCGUUAAGGUUAUAAGGUUAUAAAGUUAAACGGUGGCCGUUAACCUUAUAAGGUUAUAAGGUUAAGCGGUGGCCGUUAAGGUUAUAAGGUUAUAAGGUUAAACGGUGGCCGUUGACAUUAUAAGGUUAUAAGGUUAAACAGUGGCUGUUAAGGUUAUAAGGUUAAACGGUGACCGUUAAGGUUAUAAGGUUAAACGGUGAUCGUUAAGGUUAUAAGGUUAAGGUUAUACAUUUCACAGAGAAAGGGAAACAUAUCAUACUGCUAAAUAUACCUAAAAUCCUAAAACUUUGAUCACAUAAAAUUAUAAAUAAGCAGCAACUGAAAGCACAGACUAAUAGGAAUCAAGAACCUACAAAUGAAAUGUUACCAACAUUUACUCUUUAAGCUUAAUAUAGAGGAUUAUAUACCAGCAUAGUAUUCAACUAUUCUAAAUGUGUGGACCUCAAUUUUUUUUGGACAGAUAAGUACAUUACCUUCUCCUACUGUCUGUAUUGAAAAAAUUGCAUCACUUACAGGCAACAUAAUUCAAGCUCAUAAUCAGCUAAUAAAGAGAUGCUCAAUUAUGGUUCUUCCACCUAACUCUCUUCAUAGAGUGAACCUUUGUCAUAUGGACCCUUGUUUACAGUUCUAAAACUACUAUCCAAUAUUUCAGUAUGUGAGAAAAGAUAGAAAACC
rnacentral:lncRNA from 1 species